rnacentral:rRNA from 1 species
UACGAAGGGGGCUAGCGUUGCUCGGAAUCACUGGGCGUAAAGCGCACGUAGGCGGCUUUUUAAGUCAGAGGUGAAAUCCUGGAGCUCAACUCCAGAACUGCCUUUGAUACUGGAGAGCUUGAGUCCGGGAGAGGUGAGUGGAACUGCGAGUGUAGAGGUGAAAUUCGUAGAUAUUCGCAAGAACACCAGUGGCGAAGGCGGCUCACUGGCCCGAUACUGACGCUGAGGCGCGAAAGCGUGGGGAGCAAACAGG